rnacentral:sRNA from 1 species
UGACCAUUACUGAUUGUCCUACUCAAAUA